rnacentral:rRNA from 1 species
AACGAACGCUGGCGGCAUGCUUAACACAUGCAAGUCGAACGAAAAGGCCCGGCUUUGGUGGGGUGCUCUAGGGGCGAAGGGGUAAGUAACACGUGAGUAACCUGCACUUGACUGUGGGAUAACUUCAUGAAACUGGGGCUAAUACCGGAAAGGAGCUCCUGCUGCAUGGUGGGGGUUGGAAAGUUUCGGCGGUUGGGGAUGGACUCGCGGCUUAUCAGCUUGUUGGUGGGGUAGUGGCUUACCAAGGCUUUGACGGGUGGCCGGGCUGAGAGGGUGACCGGCCAAGCUGGGAUUGAGAUACGGCCCAGACUCGUACGGGACGCAGGAGUGGGGAAUAGUGUACAAUGGGCGGAAGCCUGACGCAGCAACGCAGCGUGCGGGAUGACGGCCUUCCGUUUGUAAUCCGCUUUCGCCUGUGACGAAGCGUUAGUGACGGUAAUGGGUAAAGAAGCACCGGCUAACUACGUG